CAGUCGCCACGGUAAUACAGAGGGUGCGAGCGUUAAUCGGAUUUACUGGGCGUAAAGCGUGCGUAGGCGGCUUUUUAAGUCGGAUGUGAAAUCCCUGAGCUUAACUUAGGAAUUGCAUUCGAUACUGGGAAGCUAGAGUAUGGGAGAGGAUGGUAGAAUUCCAGGUGUAGCGGUGAAAUGCGUAGAGAUCUGGAGGAAUACCGAUGGCGAAGGCAGCCAUCUGGCCUAAUACUGACGCUCAUGCACGAAAGCGUGGGGAGCAAACAGGAUUAGAUACCCCAGUAGUCCCUGUCUCUUAUAC
rnacentral:rRNA from 1 species